GACGAACGCUGGCGGCGUGCUUAACACAUGCAAGUCGAACGGAAAGGCCCUGCUUUUGUGGGGUGCUCGAGUGGCGAACGGGUGAGUAACACGUGAGUAACCUGCCCUUGACUUUGGGAUAACUUCAGGAAACUGGGGCUAAUACCGGAUAGGAGCUCCUGCUGCAUGGUGGGGGUUGGAAAGUUUCGGCGGUUGGGGAUGGACUCGCGGCUUAUCAGCUUGUUGGUGGGGUAGUGGCUUACCAAGGCUUUGACGGGUAGCCGGCCUGAGAGGGUGACCGGCCACAGUGGGACUGAGGUACGGCCCAGACUCCUACGGGAGGCAGCAGUGGGGAAUAUUGCACAAUGGGCGGAAGCGUGAUGCAGAAACGCCGCGUGCGGGAUGACGGCCUUCGGGUUGUAAACCGCUUUCGCCUGUGACGAAGCGUGAGUGACGGUAAUGGGUAAAGAAGCACCGGCUAACUACGU
rnacentral:rRNA from 1 species